rnacentral:rRNA from 1 species
CUUGGUCAUUUAGAGGAAGUAAAAGUCGUAACAAGGUCUCCGUAGGUGAACCUGCGGAGGGAUCAUUACACAAAUAUGGAGGCGGGCUGGAACCUCUCGGGGUUACAGCCUUGCUGAAUUAUUCACCCUUGUCUUUUGCGUACUUCUUGUUUCCUUGGUGGGUUCGCCCACCACUAGGACAAACAUAAACCUUUUGUAAUUGCAAUCAGCGUCAGUAACAAAUUAAUAAUUACAACUUUCAACAACGGAUCUCUUGGUUCUGGCAUCGAUGAAGAACGCAGCAAAAUGCGAUAAGUAAUGUGAAUUGCAGAAUUCAGUGAAUCAUCGAAUCUUUGAACGCACAUUGCGCCCGCCAGUAUUCUGGCGGGCAUGCCUGUUCGAGCGUCAUUUCAACCCUCAAGCUCAGCUUGGUGUUGGGACUCGCGGCAACCCGCGUUCCCCAAAUCGAUUGGCGGUCACGUCGAGCUUCCAUAGCGUAGUAAUCAUACACCUCGUUACUGGUAAUCGUCGCGGCCACGCCGUUAAACCCCAACUUCUGAAUGUUGACCUCGGAUCAGGUAGGAAUACCCGCUGAACUUAAGCAUAUCAAUAAGCGGAGGA